rnacentral:rRNA from 1 species
UACGUAGGGAGCAAGCGUUGUCCGGAAUCAUUGGGCGUAAAGCGCGCGUAGGCGGCCCUGUAAGUCCGUUGUGAAAGUCAAAGGCUCAACCUUUGAAAGCCGAUGGAUACUGCAGGGCUAGAGUCCGGAAGAGGCGAGUGGAAUUCCUGGUGUAGCGGUGGAAUGCGCGGAUAUCAGGAGGAACACCGAUGGCGAAGGCAGCUCGCUGGGACGGUACUGACGCUGAGGCGCGAAAGCGUGGGGAGCGAACAGG